NNGAUCGUCUAGUUGGUUAGGAUGAUGCAUUGUGGCUGCAUUGACGGCAGUUCGAAUCCGCCUCGGAGCA
rnacentral:tRNA from 1 species